GGGAAUAUUGCACAAUGGGCGCAAGCCUGAUGCAGCCAUGCCGCGUGUGUGAAGAAGGCCUUCGGGUUGUAAAGCACUUUCAGNNAUGAGGAAGGGGUGUNAGUUAAUACCUUACUUCUGUGACGUUACUCNCAGAAGAAGCACCGGCUAACUCCGUGCCAGCAGCCGCGGUAAUACGGAGGGUGCGAGCGUUAAUCGGAAUUACUGGGCGUAAAGCGCAUGCAGGUGGUUUGUUAAGUCAGAUGUGAAAGCCCGGGGCUCAACCUCGGAAUAGCAUUUGAAACUGGCAGACUAGAGUACUGUAGAGGGGGGUAGAAUUUCAGGUGUAGCGGUGAAAUGCGUAGAGAUCUGAAGGAAUACCGGUGGCGAAGGCGGCCCCCUGGACAGAUACUGACACUCAGACGCGAAAGCGUGGGGAGCAAACAGGAUUAGAUACCCUGGUAGUCCACGCCGUAAACGAUGUCUACUUGGAGGUUGUGGUCUUGAACCGUGGCUU
rnacentral:rRNA from 1 species